rnacentral:rRNA from 1 species
AUUGAACGCUGGCGGCAGGCCUAACACAUGCAAGUCGAGCGGAUGAAGGGAGCUUGCUCCUGGAUUCAGCGGCGGACGGGUGAGUAAUGCCUAGGAAUCUGCCUGGUAGUGGGGGAUAACGUCCGGAAACGGGCGCUAAUACUGCAUACGUCCUGAGGGAGAAAGUGGGGGAUCUUCGGACCUCACGCUAUCAGAUGAGCCUAGGUCGGAUUAGCUAGUUGGUGGGGUAAAGGCCUACCAAGGCGACGAUCCGUAACUGGUCUGAGAGGAUGAUCAGUCACACUGGAACUGAGACACGGUCCAGACUCCUACGGGAGGCAGCAGUGGGGAAUAUUGGACAAUGGGCGAAAGCCUGAUCCAGCCAUGCCGCGUGUGUGAAGAAGGUCUUCGGAUUGUAAAGCACUUUAAGUUGGGAGGAAGGUCAGUAAGUUAAUACCUUGCUGUUUUGACGUUACCAACAGAAUAAGCACCGGCUAACUUCGUG